UACUGGAAGAAAGAAAAAAAAAAAAAAAGGAACACUACAGAGAAGAUUAGCAUGGCCCCUGAGCAAGGAUGACACACAGAUUUAUGAAGCAUUCCAUAUUUAA